GCAGCUGUAGCUCAGUUGGUUAGAGCGCCUGAUUGUGGAUCAGGAGGUCGCCUGUUCAAGCCAGGCCAGCUGUACCA
rnacentral:tRNA from 1 species